UUUAUGGAGAGUUUGAUCCUGGCUCAGGAUGAACGCUGGCGGCGUGCCUAAUACAUGCAAGUCGAGCGAACGGAUGAGAAGCUUGCUUCUCUGAUGUUAGCGGCGGACGGGUGAGUAACACGUGGAUAACCUACCUAUAAGACUGGGAUAACUUCGGGAAACCGGAGCUAAUACCGGAUAAUAUUUUGAACCGCAUGGUUCAAAAGUGAAAGACGGUCUUGCUGUCACUUAUAGAUGGAUCCGCGCUGCAUUAGCUAGUUGGUAAGGUAACGGCUUACCAAGGCAACGAUGCAUAGCCGACCUGAGAGGGUGAUCGGCCACACUGGAACUGAGACACGGUCCAGACUCCUACGGGAGGCAGCAGUAGGGAAUCUUCCGCAAUGGGCGAAAGCCUGACGGAGCAACGCCGCGUGAGUGAUGAAGGUCUUCGGAUCGUAAAACUCUGUUAUUAGGGAAGAACAUAUGUGUAAGUAACUGUGCACAUCUUGACGGUACCUAAUCAGAAAGCCACGGCUAACUACGUGCCAGCAGCCGCGGUAAUACGUAGGUGGCAAGCGUUAUCCGGAAUUAUUGGGCGUAAAGCGCGCGUAGGCGGUUUUUUAAGUCUGAUGUGAAAGCCCACGGCUCAACCGUGGAGGGUCAUUGGAAACUGGAAAACUUGAGUGCAGAAGAGGAAAGUGGAAUUCCAUGUGUAGCGGUGAAAUGCGCAGAGAUAUGGAGGAACACCAGUGGCGAAGGCGACUUUCUGGUCUGUAACUGACGCUGAUGUGCGAAAGCGUGGGGAUCAAACAGGAUUAGAUACCCUGGUAGUCCACGCCGUAAACGAUGAGUGCUAAGUGUUAGGGGGUUUCCGCCCCUUAGUGCUGCAGCUAACGCAUUAAGCACUCCGCCUGGGGAGUACGACCGCAAGGUUGAAACUCAAAGGAAUUGACGGGGACCCGCACAAGCGGUGGAGCAUGUGGUUUAAUUCGAAGCAACGCGAAGAACCUU
rnacentral:rRNA from 1 species